rnacentral:rRNA from 1 species
AAAGGAAUUGACGGGGACCCGCACAAGCGGUGGAGCAUGUGGUUUAAUUCGACGCAACGCGAAGAACCUUACCAGGGCUUGACAUCCCUUGACCGCUGUGGAAACACAGUUUUCGGACUUUCGGGUUCGACAAGGAGACAGGUGGUGCAUGGUUGUCGUCAGCUCGUGUCGUGAGAUGUUGGGUUAAGUCCCGCAACGAGCGCAACCCCUAUUUUUAGUUGCCAGCACGUCAAGGUGGGAACUCUAAAGAAACUGCCGGUGACAAACCGGAGGAAGGUGGGGAUGACGUCAAAUCAUCAUGCCCUUUAUGUCCUGGGCUACACACGUGCUACAAUGGCCGGUACAGAGGGUGGCGAAGCCGUGAGGUGGAGCGAAUCCCAAAAAGCCGGUCUCAGUUCGGAUUGUAGGCUGCAACCCGCCUACAUGAAGUCGGAAUCGCUAGUAAUCGCGAGUCAGCAUAUCGCGGUGAAUACGUUCCCGGGUCUUGCACACACCGCCCGU